UGCUGGUAGUUGGUGUGGUAGUCAGUUCUGUUGAAGUGGUGGCUGUUGCAGUGGUAGUCUCAGUGGUAGUGCUGGUAGUUGGUGUGGUAGUCUGUUCAGUUGAUGUAGUGGCUAUUGUGGUUGUAGAUUCUGUGGGAGCAGUAGUGGUGGCUGUUGUGGUUGUAACCUCCAUGGUAGGGCUGGAAGUUGGUGUGGUACUUGGUUCCAUUAAAGUCGUGGUUGUUGUGGCAGCCUCAGUAGUACUGCUGGUAGUCAUUGUGGUAGUUGGUUCAGUUGAAGUGAUAGCUGCUGUGGUGGUUGUAGUUUCGGUUGAAAUGGUAGUGGUGGCUGUUGCAGUAGUAGCCUCAGUGGGGGUGCUGGCAGUUGGUGUAGUAGUCAGUUCUGUUGAAGCGGUGGCUGCUGUGGAAGUAGCCUCAGUGGUAGGGCUGGCAGUUGGUGUGGUAGUCUGUUCCAUUGAAGUGGUGGCUGUUGUGGUUGUAGCCUCAGUGGUAGUGCUGGCAGUUGGUGUGGUACUCUGUUCCAUGGAAGUGGUGGCUGUUGUGGUUGUAGCCUCAGUGGUAGUGCUGGAAGUUGGUGUAGUAGUCUGUUCAG
rnacentral:lncRNA from 1 species